UACGGAGGGUGCAAGCGUUAAUCGGAAUUACUGGGCGUAAAGCGUGCGUAGGUGGCAAAUCAAGUUGGGUGUGAAAGCCCCGGGCUCAACCUGGGAAUUGCAUUCAAAACUGGUUAGCUAGAGUAUAGUAGAGGAUGGUAGAAUUUCCUGUGUAGCGGUGGAAUGCAUAGAUAUAGGAAGGAACAUCAGUGGCGAAGGCGGCCAUCUGGACUAAUACUGACACUGAGGUACGAAAGCGUGGGGAGCAAACAGG
rnacentral:rRNA from 1 species